rnacentral:ribozyme from 1 species
CAGUUUUUUUUUUUUUUUUUUUUUUUUUUUUCA